CCAAUAGCGUAUAUUAAAGUUGUUGCAGUUAAAAAGCUCGUAGUUGAACUUCGGGGUCUACCCAUUGGUCAGGCUUAAUUGUCUGUACUGGUGAGAUGGAUCUCUACCUUCUGAGGAACUUUCAUGCCAUUUAUUUGGUGUGAUGGGAAAUCAGGACUAUUACUUUGAAAAAAUUAGAGUGUUUAAAGCAGGCUAACGUCUGAAUACAUUAGCAUGGAAUAAUGAAAUAGGACGGACUGAUUCUAUUUCGUUGGUUUCUAGGAUCACCGUAAUGAUUAAUAGGAUUAGGUGGGGGCAUUAGUAUUCAAUUGUCAGAGGUGAAAUUCUUGGAUUUAUUGAAGACUAACUACUGCGAAAGCAUUUGCCAAGGAUGUUUUCAUUAAUCAAGAACGAAAGUUAUGGGAUCGAAGACGAUCAGAUACCGUCGUAGUCUUAACCCUAAACUAUGCCGACUAGGGAUCGGACGAAGUUAAUUUUAUAAUGACGCGUUCGGCACCUUACG
rnacentral:rRNA from 1 species